AACACCCCAGAAAUCAGCCGGGAGCACCUACCUAUCCUACCAGAGCCGUGACCCACCUGGACUCGAGCCCCUCCUUGAUGGGGCCCCGCCUCUGCGUGCCUCUGCGUUAUGGAGGGAAGAGACUGGCGGAUGGCGGGAGACGCUGCAGAUGGAAGAAAGGAGGAAGCACGGGACCACUGGCCUGCAUAUUAAUAUGAUUUAGGAGAGUCACAGGUCACCUGCUCACGACCGGGAGCCACCCUGGAGUGCAGGUCUGCAGCUAUUGCUAGACAAAACUGAGUGAUGAGAUGAAAUGGCGCCACUCCUGACCAUGAAGUCAUGAAGGCCACGGCCGUCGUAAAUCUCCGUGUCUGCCAUCCCCCUGCCAUCCCCUAUGGAAGCACAGUCCAGCCGGUGCCAGCUGCCCUGGGGAGGCCCUCAUCCGCCCUGGCAGAGCCUCUGAGGACGGGGCAGGCCUCCGCGCCGUGGACGAUGAGGGGCCUGAAAGCCACCCUGGACCUUCACUGAGUUUCCUGGGCGACCCAGUUCGUCCCCACCUGGGUCGUGUCUGACCACUUGGGGCAGAGCCAGUCCUGUCCGCUCUUCCUCUGGUGUCUGACCCCUGCUGUCUCCUUGGCUAAUGCCUGCCCAUCCUCAAGGGCCUCCUCCCCAGGGGGGCUUCCUCACGCACCCAGACACGGCUGGUCUCCUGUUUCCUGCUGUGACCGCAUGUAGGUCCCUUUGGCAUGGUGGCUUCAAGACUGAGAGGCAAAGUGUCUCUGAAGGGCGGAAACAACUGUGAUUGCUUUGGGUUUGAGGAACCGGGCAAGGGAGAUGGGGGUUAAAGAAGGCCGUGGUAGGGGGCAAUCUCACACUGAGAGAUUUGGAAUUAGGGGAGGUGGGAUUAUUGGAGUUGGGGAUACAGCUCUUCGCCCAGGCCUGCAGAUAGGAAGACCCUGCCUGGUCUGCUGCAGAUACUAGGCCUGCAAUUCUACCCCUGGCCACCAGGUGUCAGUGGUGUCCUUGGGGCAGCUGUAUUGAGAGAAGGAGCCCAGGAAACAGCGUGGCUUUUUAAAAAAAAAUCAGGUCUCACCCACUGCCAUAUAAAGUUAGAGUGGCAGUUCUUGCUUCUCCGGCCCUGCCACGCCUUGUGAAGAUGUUCGUCGGUGUCCCACUGCCCCGAGAAUCUGCGUCAGGACCGUGCACAGCUCUGGCGCUGGCUGCUUCUGCAGCGCUUUCUCCUGCCGUCCGGAAGGCCAGUUGCGAGGCAAAUUAGUGGGAGGGACACUCCUUAAAUUGGCCCUAAUUUUUUUAAAAAGUCCCAUCAUUCACAGGCCUUGCUACUUUAAAACUAGGACUGUGAUAACUACGACAUACUUCAAGGUGAUGUGUGUUGACAUAGUAGCCGAGAAGCUCUGAGCUAGAAACUCUGAGAAGACUGUCCUCUGGGGACAAGCAAACGUGUUUCCAGCCGGGAGGGGGGCGGGGCUGUCAAUGUCCGCUCUUCCCAGCUUUCUUUUCAGAGCGGCAGCAGAGCGCAGUGGUUAGAGGCACGGCCCCAGAUCCAGGCUGCUCGGGACCAGCGCCCGUCUCUACCACUCACCAGCUCUGAGAACUUGGGCGAGACUUGCCCUGUCUUUGCCUCAGUUUCCUCAUCUGUGAAGUGGGAAUCACAGCAGUCCUACCUCCGAGGACUGUCGGGAGCAUUAAAUGAGUUAACACAGCAUCUGGUGCUGAACUGGUAGCUACCGCGUGGUGAGGGCUGCCCGAGCAUUCUCUGGCUUGUCAGUUUUAGAAAAGGCCCCGACCCACCCACCUUAGUGUUCACUUGCAUCGGGUGCUAGGGUGAGAGGUGUUUGGUUUUGUUUAGAUCAGACAUGGAGAGGUGGGUGGGAAGGGACUGGUCAAAACAGACCUCUCAUCCACACAGAGAGGGCUGGCCUUGUGGGUGGGCGACCUGUGCAGGGACACAGGGCCUCGCCUUGGAAGGCCCUGGCACUUAGUUGAAGAGGCCGCUGCCUGCUGUUGCCGUCUUGAUAUUCUUGACAACGUACGAAGAAGGACCCUGCGUUUUCAUUUUGCACUGGGCCCACAAACAAUGUAGCAGUUCCCGUUACCAGAUGCCUCCGGAGGCAGAAGGCCCCCUGCCUUCCUCCUCGCCUGAUCACGCCAGUUCCCUUCUCCCGCCACGGGCCGGCCCUCCGCCCAGGAAAUUUGCCCCGGACUGAAUCUUUGCCCCCUCCAGCAUUUUAAUGGAAGACUUCAGCUUAUAGCAACGUGGAAAGAAUUGUAGGCACUGUGCACCUGCCACCCAGAACAUUUCCUACCAAGAAAUGCUUUUCUACCAAGAAUAUUCCCUGCAUUUGCUUCACUGCAGGUCCGUGGGCAAGCUUUUGCCGCCUUGUCUUGUGUUCACCUUGGACUCUGUGCUCAGCUCCUGGACUCUCAUCUCUUGCUGACCGCUCUAACGCGUCCAGCCCUCCUGUCUGGACCGAGAAAGGUCCCCCAGGCUUUGGGGUCAGACGGAGGCCUGCAGGAAGGGGCAUGGUGGGUGAGGUGGGGGAGGCUACCGGGGAAACGCUGGGGACAAAGUGCCAGUGGUUCUGUGGCAUGGAGGUCAGGACAGGUUAGGGUGCAUUCUAGAAAAACCAGGGCGAUGUCAUCCUGGAGUUUGUGGACUGAGAUUCCUCCUCACAACCAUAGUGUUAUAAGUUCGCCAAGUGGUUUCUUAACAUGGUCUUCCAGCCCUGGCCAGCGUGGCUUGGUUGGUUGGGUGUCGUCCCUCAAGGCUAAAGGUCUCUGGUUCGAUUCCACACGUGCCUGGGUUGCAGCCACGUCUC